CGGAAGGUCCGGGCGUUAUCCGGAUUUAUUGGGUUUAAGGGAGCGCAGGCCGCCCGAUAAGCGUGUUGUGAAAUGUACCGGCUCAACCGGUGAGUUGCAGCGCGAACUGUCAGGCUUGAGUGCACGGUAAGCAGGCGGAAUUCAUGGUGUAGCGGUGAAAUGCUUAGAUAUCAUGAGGAACUCCGAUUGCGAAGGCAGCUUGCUGCAGUGCGACUGACGCUUAGGCUCGAAGGUGCGGGUAUCAAACAGGAUU
rnacentral:rRNA from 1 species